GACGAACGCUGGCGGCGUGCUUAACACAUGCAAGUCGAACGGAAAGGCCCUGCUUUUGUGGGGUGCUCGAGUGGCGAACGGGUGAGUAACACGUGAGUAACCUGCCCUUGACUUUGGGAUAACUUCAGGAAACUGGGGCUAAUACCGGAUAGGAGCUCCUGCUGCAUGGUGGGGGUGGGAAAGUUUCGGCGGUUGGGGAUGGACUCGCGGCUUAUCAGCUUGUUGGUGGGGUAGUGGCUUACCGAGGCUUUGACGGGUAGCCGGCCUGAGAGGGUGACCGGCCACAUUGGGACUGAGAUACGGCCCAGACUCCUACGGGAGGCAGCAGUGGGGAAUAUUGCACAAUGGGCGGAAGCCUGAUGCAGCAACGCCGCGUGCGGGAUGACGGCCUUCGGGUUGUAAACCGCUUUCGCCUGUGACGAAGCGUGAGUGACGGUAAUGGGUAAAGAAGCACCGGCUAACUACGUG
rnacentral:rRNA from 1 species